GCAUAUUAAUAAGCGGAGGAAAAGAAAACAACUGUGAUUCCCUUAGUAAUGGCGAAUGAAACGGGAAGAGCCCAGCACCGAACUGCCGGCCACACAGGUCGUGCGGAAUGUGGUGUUUGGAAGGGUCUUGUCCAAGGCUCGGCUUGCCAGUCAAAGUCCAACCUGACAGUGGCCACUGCCCAUAGAGGGUGAUAGGCCCGUAAGACGGCGAGCCGGCUUUGCUGACCUCUUCCUAGAGUCGGUUUGCUUGAAAGUGCAGACCAAAGUGCGAGGUAAACUCCUCGUAAGGCUAAAUAUGACCCCGAGACCGAUAGCAAACAAGUACAGUGAUGGAAAUUUGAAAAGAACUUUGAAGAGAGAGUUAACAGUACGUGAAACUGUGUGGUAGUAAACGGAGCCUUCCUCGAAGUUUGCCUGGCGGUCCCAGCCUAAGGAUUUGGUGGCCUGGGUUUCCUGAUCAGCAAUGACUGGGAGCCUUGUGUCGGCUGAGUCCACGGGUGCAUCUCCGUCAGGUGUUUACGGUAGGAACUGUUGGAACUGGUCCAAGGGCCUGGGAUGAAGUUUUCGCUUCGGCGUCAGCUCCCGGUGACCCGGCAUCGGAUCCGACAGGCAGCACGGUYGACUUGUACAGCAAGCAACGCUUCUGUUGCGGUCGGCCUUUCCCUACCGAGUAGGUCGGUGGAGGCUCUGACCCGUCUUGAAACACGGACC
rnacentral:rRNA from 1 species